GCCGGGCAUGGUGGCGCAUGCCUGUAAUCCCAGCUACUUGGGAGGCUGAGGCAGGAGAAUCGCUCGAACCUGGGAGGCAGAGGUUGCAGUGAGUUGAGAUCAUGCCACUGCACUCAAGCCUGGGUGACAGAGCGAGACUCCGUCUCCA
rnacentral:sRNA from 1 species